rnacentral:rRNA from 1 species
GAUGGUUUGGCACCUCGAUGUCGGCUCGUCGCAUCCUGGGGCUGGAGUCGGUCCCAAGGGUUGGGCUGUUCGCCCAUUAAAGCGGUACGCGAGCUGGGUUUAGAACGUCGUGAGACAGUUCGGUCCCUAUCCGCUGUGCGCGUAGGAGUCUUGAGAAGGGCUGUCCCUAGUACGAGAGGACCGGGACGGACGAACCUCUGGUGUGCCAGUUGUUCUGCCAAGGGCAUGGCUGGUUGGCUACGUUCGGGAGGGAUAACCGCUGAAAGCAUCUAAGCGGGAAGCCUGCUUCGAGAUGAGGACUCCCACCCACUUGAUGGGGUAAGGCUCCCAGUAGACGACUGGGUUGAUAGGCCGGAUCUGGAAGCACCGUGAGGUGUGGAGGUGACCGGUACUAAUAGGCCGAGGGCUUGUCCUCAGUUG